AGAUUGAACGCUGGCGGCAUGCCUUACACAUGCAAGUCGAACGGCAGCACGGACUUCGGUCUGGUGGCGAGUGGCGAACGGGUGAGUAAUAUAUCGGAACGUACCCUGGAGUGGGGGAUAACGCAGCGAAAGUUGCGCUAAUACCGCAUACGAUCUACGGAUGAAAGUGGGGGAUUCGCAAGAACCUCAUGCUCGUGGAGCGGCCGAUAUCUGAUUAGCUAGUUGGUAGGGUAAAAGCCUACCAAGGCAUCGAUCAGUAGCUGGUCUGAGAGGACGACCAGGCCACAACUGGGACUGAGACACGGCCCAGACUCCUACGGGAGGCAGCAGUGGGGAAUUUUGGACAAUGGGGGCAACCCUGAUCCAGCAAUGCCGCGUGAGUGAAGAAGGCCUGGUGUAAGAUCUUUGUCAGGAAGAAACGGUGAAGGCAAUAUCCUUUGCUAAUGACGUACUAGAACGAAUAAGCACGGACUAACUACGUAGACCA
rnacentral:rRNA from 1 species